UACGUAGGGGGCAAGCGUUGUCCGGAAUCAUUGGGCGUAAAGAGCUCGUAGGCGGUUUGUCGCGUCUGCCGUGAAAGUCCGGGGCUCAACUCCGGAUCUGCGGUGGGUACGGGCAGACUAGAGUGAUGUAGGGGAGACUGGAAUUCCUGGUGUAGCGGUGAAAUGCGCAGAUAUCAGGAGGAACACCGGUGGCGAAGGCGGGUCUCUGGGCCGAUAUUGACGCUGAGGAGCGAAAGCGUGGGGAGCGAACAGG
rnacentral:rRNA from 1 species